GAUGAACGCUGGCGGCGUGCCUAAUACAUGCAAGUCGAGCGAACGGACGAGAAGCUUGCUUCUCUGAUGUUAGCGGCGGACGGGUGAGUAACACGUGGAUAACCUACCUAUAAGACUGGGAUAACUUCGGGAAACCGGAGCUAAUACAGGAUGAUAUUUUGAACCGCAUGGUUCAAAAGUGAACGACGGUCUUGCUGUCACUUAUAGAUGGAUCCGCGCUGCAUUAGCUAGUUGGUAAGGUAACGGCUUACCAAGGCAACGAUGCAUAGCCGACCUGAGAGGGUGAUCGGCCACACUGGAACUGAGACACGGUCCAGACUCCUACGGGAGGCAGCAGUAGGGAAUCUUCCGCAAUGGGCGAAAGCCUGACGGAGCAACGCCGCGUGAGUGAUGAAGGUCUUCGGAUCGUAAAACUCUGUUAUUAGGGAAGAACAGAUGUGUAAGUAACUGUGCACAUCUUGACGGUACCUAAUCAGAAAGCCACGGCUAACUACGUG
rnacentral:rRNA from 1 species